rnacentral:tRNA from 1 species
CGGCGCGCCUGGCCGGGGCGGAGCGGCGGGCCGCCUUCGUCGGGGCCGUGGAGGCGGCCGUUCCCGCGACCGUGCGCCGGC